ACUCAAAUGAAUAGACGGGGACCCGCACAAGCGGUGGAGCAUGUGGUUUAAUUCGAUGCAACGCGAAGAACCUUACCUGGCCUUGACAUCUGUCGAAUCCUUCAGAGAUGAGGGAGUGCCUUCGGGAACGACAAGACAGGUGCUGCAUGGCUGUCGUCAGCUCGUGUCGUGAGAUGUUGGGUUAAGUCCCGCAACGAGCGCAACCCUUGUCCUUAGUUGCCAUCAUUAAGUUGGGAACUCUAAGGAGACCGCCGGUGACAAACCGGAGGAAGGUGGGGAUGACGUCAAGUCAUCAUGGCCUUUAUGGCCAGGGCUACACACGUGCUACAAUGGCAGGUACAGAGGGAAGCCAACCGGCGACGGGGAGCUAAUCCCAGAAAGCCUGUCUUAGUCCGGAUUGGAGUCUGCAACUCGACUCCAUGAAGUUGGAAUCGCUAGUAAUCGCAGAUCAGCAUUGCUGCGGUGAAUACGUUCCCGGGUCUUGCACACACCGCCCGU
rnacentral:rRNA from 1 species